rnacentral:rRNA from 1 species
GACGAACGCUGGCGGCGUGCUUAACACAUGCAAGUCGAACGGAAAGGCCCUGCUUUUGUGGGGUGCUCGAGUGGCGAACGGGUGAGUAACACGUGAGUAACCUGCCCUUGACUUUGGGAUAACUUCAGGAAACUGGGGCUAAUACCGGAUAGGAGCUCCUGCUGCAUGGUGGGGGUUGGAAAGUUUCGGCGGUUGGGGAUGGACUCGCGGCUUAUCAGCUUGUUGGUGGGGUAGUGGCUUACCAAGGCUUUGACGGGUAGCCGGCCUGAGAGGGUGACCGGCACCAUGGGGCUGGGGAAAGGCCCAGGAUUCUUCGGGGGGCAAGAGUGGGGAAUAUUGCACAAAGGGCCGGAGCCUGGAGCAACAACGGCCGGGGCGGGAAGACCGCCUUCGGGGUGGAAACCGCUUUCGCCUGUUACCGAGCGGGAGUGACGGUAAUGGGUAAAGAAGCACCGGCUAACUACGUG